UUCUCCUCUCCUCUCUCCCCAAAUCACCGCCGCCGCCCGCGACUGAACCCGCCGUCCCGCCCAGCUCCGCCCGCGCCUCAGCCCGCUCUACUCUGCCCGCGUCUCCAUGACGUUGGUUCCUCUGCACCCCGCCGUCUUCGCUCUGCUCUGCCUGUGGAGGCUGCCAUGUCCACUCCUGUGACGUGCCGAUAUAUGGUGGCGCUGUGGCCGGGUGCGAUCUGGAGAACCAGCAGGCGGUGGUGCACGGCCUGGGCGGCAGCGACCUGCGGGGCCUCGGUGCUGCACGGACGCCUCCUUCCCCGUCGCAUUGAUCCAAAGCGGCUCUCUCCUCCAGCGACGAGGAGAUGGUAGAUGGGAGAUGGGGCCGCUCGACUCAGCCAAGGCGUCGGAGGACCAAAUCUGGACCGAAGCAGUUCACCAGCACGGGCGACAGAGAGAUGGACGAGGAAGCCGAGCCGUCCGCGAGGCUAUCGACUCGCCCUUCGCUCGUGGGGCAGAGAAUAACCAGGAGGUGGAGCGGUCCACGGCGUCGUCGCCCUCGCCUCCGAGCCGUCCAUGACGCUGUCGCCAUCGCCUAGCCACUCACCGCACAGGACGCGGAGAUGGGCGAGGACGCCUGUGGGAAGCAGCAGCGGCUCGAUGACAGGAAGCAACAGUUUGCUCAUUCCUAGGUAUACUCAGAUUGUUGCUCCCACUCCGCUUCCCCCUCCCUCUCUUCAUAUUUAAGUCUUUUGAUGUGUCUUUGAUGGGAUCUAGCACGGUUGGAUCGCGGUGGCUGGCUUGCUGGCCAAGCGGUCGCCACUCUCCUCCUCAUCUUCAAUGGCGUGAAGAAGAUCGAUGUUGAGAUGGACGGACGUUGCAGGAACAACAGAGAUCCUAUAUAGAUUCGUGCUGAAUCCAUUUUCCUUUUCUUACUUGUGUUUACACCUCCCUUAACCCGACAAACAUUUGGCACCUGGAAAAUCCCAACACCUUCAGUUUACAACACCGGAGAACAAUUGGAAAAUAAGUUGAAUGAUGCGAACAAAUAACAAUAUGCGGGCUUUGAUUAUCUCUGAAACACAUGACCAUGUUGUUUAUUUCAUGUUUGUGAACCCUCUAGUCAUCUACAUGGAUAGCUUUCUGUAAUUGUGGCAAGGUGCAGAGAUGGUUGUACAGUCGGUUAUCCUGUCAUUGAAACCAUUCAUAAGUAAGAUACAUUUAUUUCAGGUCUUGCUUAUUAUUAUUUAUGCCUUUCCACAUUUUCCUAAUUCGCAAAAUAGGAUGCCUUUAUCUGGAACAUUCAGGGAUAACGUCUGUCAUGUCGUUGAAGCUCAUGCUGAGAUACCUGAGAUAAUGAAGAAGUUAGCUACCAAUGUAGCUGAAAAAAACUAUCAAAUCAUUAGAAGGUGUUGGUGUUUUUGUUGCCGGACUAUCUUUAGCAAAUGCCAAUCCAGUUUGUUCGAACAUUUAUACAUGUCUUAUAUAAUUGAAUCCUCCUAUGUUGAUGUUGGAUCUUUCUCUCAUUGAUAAUUUCACUAGGUUUUAUCGAACGAAGUAGCCCCUAGGGCUCACAUUAGUGGACACUUUAUAAUCCAGACAUAGCACUCUUCACAAUACGAGCAACAUCUACGUGCUAUUCUUGGACUUCCUGUUGGUAACCCUGUAAUUGAAGCACCCUCAGCCAUAAUGAACAAAAUCCUGGGCUAUGAUGAGGUGCAUCAGUCUAUUGGCAUGCAAAGGCGGGUUCUGCACACACACAUAGCUAUUUGUUGCAGAAAGGUUAUAAUUCUGCUUAUUGCAUUCCUGUGCCAUUGAGUAUUAUUUAAAGAAUUGUUUUUCCACGUAUUUGGAAGCAAAGUAAGAUGGGUCAUAUUACAAUUCUGGGGCGUUAAUUAUGUGUUCAGUGUAAAAGCACAUUUGGACAAGUACACAAGAAUUUGUUGUUAGGGUCUACCGACAAAACAUGUAGGUGAGGCCAUUCAUGUACAUCAUCUUAUCUUGUCCUUUCUUUGUCCUGUUUUCCCCUGAUUAUGCCUGCAAUGGAAGUGCUUAUUUAGACAGUGCAUAUUGGAACAAAUUGAUCUGUCUCUGCAUUUAAUUUAGACACUGCAUCUUUUCCUGUACUUUCUUUGUUCUAUUUCCCACUUCUGUAAUGUGAAUUUCAAAUGGAACAAAUAAAAUAGUAAAUCACCUCCUUGUCAGCAAGAAGUUUCUUGCUGAAAACAUUUGGCGACUGAUUUGUAACAUUAGAAGCCAUGUCACUCUUACCAUGUUGUGAACAAAUGCAACAUUUCUCUUGCCAUUUUUAUGUAUAAAUAUUUCAUCGGAAAGGAUUGUGCAACUAUGCCUUAUAUAUCAUAACUCUUGGAUGCAACUGUUUGCACAACUUUUGUGCGAGGAUGUAUUACUACUUUGAUGAAAAUUUACUUGUUGAUCGUGUGCAUUGCAUUUCAGAUCUGACACAUAAAGGCACCUUGCCUUGUAUCAUGCAUUCCGCCCAUAGAUAUGUUCUUUAUCAGAUCUGAUGGUUCUCUGGUGGUUACAUGCCGACUGAAUUGAAUUGGGUUGGAUGCUCAGGUUUCUUGUCAACUGUUUAAUUUUAAGCAUUAUCUUGCAAGUCAUAGACUAUUAUGUGCCAAUCCCUAAUAAAGGAAUCUGGUCCAGAAUUCUCUACUGUACAAUAUCUCAAAAACUCUUUGGAAUUGAUUUGUUGUGAGCAGAAAGGAUCUUGAUAUGGUGCUUAAAAGCACUAACCCCGUCCUUAUUGUUCACAUACAGAUUUUUAUAUUUAUUUUAAUCGAUUCACUUUCGUCGGCAUCUUAGCGUGUUCCUUUCCAUGGCCAGCUUUACCAUUUGCUCUAGAAGGAGUUUUUCAACUCGGAAAGAACAAAUGAUUUGAGACUGCUUUAUCUUUCAUGUAAUAGUUCAGUUCAAUUGUUCUUUGUUUUUUCCAUAGUAGUUCAUAAUCAGUCUGAACAAUAGUACAUCAGUAAAAAUAAUAGUAGUUAAUUUAAGACUGCUUUUACCUUUCCUGCAAUAGUUCAAGGUGAGUGUUCUUUUUUUUUUCUGUAGUAGUUAAUUUGAUGAUCUACUUUACAAAAAAUCAAGCACCUCUGUUUGUAGGUUGCAGGUUCCGAGGUGUGAUCACUGUCCAUUUGUUUGAGGUCGGGAAACAACGAUAAUUAGCAGCCCUGUAUCCUAACCAGGAGAACAUCCAUUUCCAAUAUUGGUUUUUAGAUUAUGUCCAGUUAAUUAGAAAAAUAGUGGGCUUGCUAAAACAUCGCAAAUUUCCAUGUGAGUCGAUAUGGAGUUAGCAAACACUAUAUGCAUCAAUGUCUAUUUAAUGUCCUAAAAACACUGGCAUGUUUGGAUGUAAUUUUUCAUCUAUACGUAUCAGCGGUGGGCUAUUCCCACUUGAGGGUGACUAUACAUCAGUUGCACAAUCAUGUGUCUUGUGCUUCUUGUUUGAA